UACGAAGGGGGCUAGCGUUGCUCGGAAUCACUGGGCGUAAAGGGUGCGUAGGCGGGUCUUUAAGUCAGGGGGGAAAUCCUGGAGCUCAACUCCAGAACUGCCUUUGAUACUGAGGAUCUUGAGUUCGGGAGAGGUGAGUGGAACUGCGAGUGUAGAGGUGAAAUUCGUAGAUAUUCGCAAGAACACCAGUGGCGAAGGCGGCGACCUGGACGGACACUGACGCUGAGACGCGAAAGCGUGGGGAGCAAACAGG
rnacentral:rRNA from 1 species